rnacentral:miRNA from 1 species
UGGAGACUCUACCCAGGCGGUAG